rnacentral:lncRNA from 1 species
AAUUGAAAAAUAUUUAAACCUGUAAUUCUGAGGGAAAAGUCAAAUUAUUUUAAUAUUCAUCACAUAGUCUAAGUCAGGUUAGUGUUGAAUUUUAUUUGUUAAAUAAGAAAUUUCACUUUCAACUUAAAUCCCUAAUAUAUUAAAGGAGCUUUUUUCUAAUAGAAAACAGUACUUUGAUAUUGUAUACAUUUUUGAAUAAGCUUGUGCCUUUUGUGGUGAGGCGCUUUAUUGCAAACACCAAUCAAUCUACGCAUAAAUUAGCAUAACUAUUAUUUGUUACCGGUCAUAUUUUAAAGUGCUAUAAACCAGUUUGUGUUUAUUUUUUUACUUAACAUUCAGUGUGUGAUGUUCUUGCCUGAAUAAUAUCAUAUUUGACAUUCAAUCAGGUCGAUAUGCUAGUCAAGUUAUGUAACCUUAAUAAAACGGUGUUAAAUCAACGUGCCAUUCUGCAUUCACCAGAUAAGCUUUUUUUAUCCUUUUUCUUGUGAUGGUUUAAAAAUCAACACCCCCUUAUACAAGGGAUGUUCACUUAUACAGAACUUGAAUAGUUUGGGAAGACUUUCAUUCUUUCCAAAAGGAUCUAUCUCUAGGUUGACAACUUUUUGCAGGUGCAUUUGACUCCUAUCUUGAUUGACUAGGAAUGCAAAGAGGGAAAAGGAGUGGGGGAGGAGAGGUGGGCUGUAUGUGUUCAAUCCAAAUCUUGAGUGAAAACAAAAAAAUAUCUUCAUUUUUAUUUGUAGCCUUUCUGCUUAGUAUGCAGCAUAUAAGAGAAAGAACCCUAUCAGAAUAAUGUGUAAUGGUAGGGUUACUUUGUAAACUAGUUCAUUUAAGUUGACAAGGCAAGGUUUAUAUUCUUAUUUCAUUGACAUGCUCCCAUCCUAAAUUGCAUUUGAUUUGUCACCAGAAGUUAGUUUCAUCAACAUCUUCAUCUUUUUUGUAUCUUUUGGUUGAAUGUAAUAAAUAAUAAAAUAGCAUUGAUUAAUUUGAUCUAAUAUAUUGUUCCUUUCAUUAAUUUCAUAUUUAACAAUCCACUUUAGAUAGAAGCUAGUGUGAUAUUCUUAUAAAU